rnacentral:rRNA from 1 species
UACGGAGGAUCCAAGCGUUAUCCGGAUUUAUUGGGUUUAAAGGGUGCGUAGGUGGCCUGUAAGUCAGGGGUGAAAGACGGUAGCUCAACUAUCGCAGUGCCCUUGAUACUGAUGGGCUUGAAUGAACUAGAGGUAGGCGGAAUGUGACAAGUAGCGGUGAAAUGCAUAGAUAUGUCACAGAACACCAAUUGCGAAGGCAGCUUACUAUGGUUUGAUUGACACUGAGGCACGAAAGCGUGGGGAUCAAACAGG